ACCAAGCUCUAGUGCAACCGCUGGUUCAUGGACUAGAAUAUUAAGAUCCAAUUCAAUGGCAGACUGUCUCCAGCAAUGUUGUAUUUUUAUUUUUUUUUGCCGUCAUCCCCCCCACCCACUUGUGAGCAAUGGUUGUACAAAUUAGCCUCUGUGUACUAGUCACCGAAGCUGGCUUCCCAAUUAACCCCAGGCUUGAGAGAAAAUAAGACUAAAGAUUCUUCCCCUCCUGAAAGAACUAAGUUAUCCAUGCACAAAAGCCUACAUGUUGGCACCUGGCUAUGGAGUUGGGCAUUUAAUUGCCUUUGUAAUGACUCAGUCCAUCUGCAUGGUAUUGGGUCCCCAGUUUCAGGUAAUGGGCCAGAGGGGUCUUAUUAGUCUCUGGAAUGACCAGGCCAUGUGUAUUCAUCACUUCGAAAGGCAAGCAGGGUCUGUGAGAAGCUGGUGAAGCUCUUUGUGUGUUCACAUCUCUGAUUGUGCCCUGUGUCCACACUUAGCCAGGACACCUACCCACUUAGUGGUCUUGGCUUUGUUUCUAGGGUGAGGGCUUGAGCUGUGGGUAACAGUGCUGAUUAUUACAUGCUAGUAAGAUUGUCUCCCUCUUUGAAGUGGUAGAAAGGUUUGUCCCUUCAGGGUGAUUGGGUGAAUAUCAGAAAGCAACCACAGGAACAUUUUGUUGUACUUUGCUAAGGUCUAAAUAUUUGUCUCCUCCCACCAAAAAUUAGUGGUUGAAACCUCAUCCCCAGUGUGAUGAAAUGAGGAGGUGAGGCCUUUGGGAGGUGACGAGGUCUUGAAGGCAGAGCCUUUAUGGAUGGGAUUAGUACCCAUAUAAAAGAGACCUCAGGGAGCUUGUUCACCCCUUCUGUCAUGUUGAGUACUCAGCAAGAAGAUGCCAUCUAUGAGGAAUGGACCCCCACCAGACACCCAAUCUGCCAGUAACUUGAUCUUGGACUUCCCAGCCUCCAGAACUGUGAGGAAUCAGUUUCUGCUAUUUAUGAGUUACCCAGUCUAUGGCAUUUUGCUAUGGCAGCCCAAAUAGACUGAGACAUACUCCUUAACCUUUGACCCACUUCUGUUUAGGCCCAGCCAGCCUUCCUGAGCCUGUGCAUAGUCUUCCUGGCUCAAGGAACUCUCUCUACCGAGGUGUGAUCUCCUAACUCCUGGCACUCAUUUACCUAUCCAUGGUUGGUAGUCAGCCUCCAAGAUGCCUGCAGUCAUCCCUGCCUCCUGGGAUUCAUAUCCUCCUCCACAUUGUGCCAGGAUUGGGCUCUGUGGCCAAAAAGAAAACAGCAGAUGAGAGGACGUGUCUCUUCUCAGAAGGGUUAGAAAAGACUGUGGCUUCCAUUUUAGAUGACUUUCUCUCUCUCUCUCUCUCUCUCUCUCUCUCUCUCUCUCUCUCUCCUCUUUUCCUUCUUCUCUUCCUUGGAUCUCUUGCUCUGAGGAAAGCAAACUACUAUGUUGUGAGCAGCCCAAUGGAGAGGCCCACAAGACAACGAACUGAAGCCUCCAGCAACAACCCUGUGAGGUCAGUUUGGAAGUGGAUUUUCUAGCCCCAAUUGAGCUUAAGAUGACUUCAGCUUCAGCAGACAGCUUGACUGCAGCCUUUCUAGAGAGCAAGCACCACCCAGCUCUGCUGCUUCUAGACCCCUGACCUCAGAAAUUGCACGAGAUAACAUGUUUGCUGUUUCAGGCUGCCAAAUUUAGGGGCUGGAACUGCCCAUAAAGGCUGGCACCCCAGCAGCCACCUUGAGAAAUGCAGUGAUGAUGCUGAGUGGCAAGGCAGAAGGCACAGGGUCCCUGCACCUGAGGAUUGCUGCUCCAAACCUGGGCCACCAGCCUGAAGAUCCCGCCAGGGAGAAAUAAAGCUCUGUUUUGCUGAAGCCACUGCUAUUUUGGGGGUCUCAUCUCUUCCAGCUGAUUCUAACCUGAAAUUGAACCUUAAUUCAAUCUGGCUGAUCCAUGAACAACCAUCACGCCUUGUGCUCUGUGUCAGAUAGGUUUCUUAAGGGAGAAUGUCAC
rnacentral:lncRNA from 1 species